CACAGAAAUAUCUGAUUUCAAAGAGAUGCUUGCAUUCUGUACUGAUGCCAUCUAGAAUUGUAAAUGACCAGUGUCACACUGCUAAGUGGAGAAAGCGUGAAAGAAGAAUCCCAUCAGUACAUUCACGAUAGAGGAAAUAAGAAACAAUGAAAGCCACAAGUAAGUCCUGAGUUGAUCAACAGUAUUGCACUUCUCCAGUGCAGUCCUACAGCUCCGUUAUGAUAAUCCUCCAGAUGAAGCUAUGUUCAAGACUGGACUAGAUCUUGUGCUAUAAAGCCACACUGGAACCAUCUCCAAUUCCCCACCUUGCUUCAGUUUUAUAUUCUUGCAGAUAGCCUCUUUGAAUCCAUCAGACAUGAUCUCACUUUGUUGCCCCAAGCUGGAGUGCAGUGGCACAAUCUCAGCUCACUGCAGCCUCAACCUCCCAGACGCAAGUGCACCUCCAGCCGCAGCCUCCCAGAGAUGGGGUUUCACCAUGUUCUGCAGGUUGGUCUUGAACUUCUAGGCUCAAGUGAUCCACGUACUUCGGCUUUCUGAAGUGCUGGGAUUACAGGUGUGAGCCGCAGCUCCUGGCUGUCUAUUAAACUCUCAUUCAGAAUGUAAGUCAUGGAAGUAUUUUUUGUAGCAUCAACUAGUGAUGUCUGUCAAAAUGUAAAAUGCACUCUUGAGAGCCAGAGAUUUUACUUCUAGGGAUCUAUUCAUAGCAGCAUUGAAAUAGUGAGGAUUAGAAAUAAUUUUAAUUUCUCUCAGUAAUGGAAGUGUGCGUCUCUGCUGUAAGAUAGACAAUCAAUAAAAACACUGAGGUAGCCUUAAAUGUACUAAGGACAGUUGUCCAAGACAUAUUCUUAGUGAAUGACUUUUUUAAAAUCAAGGUUUGAAAGAAUAAAUAUGGCUGGGCUCGGUGGCUCACGCCUGUAAUCCCAGCACUUUGGGAGGCCGAGGCAGGUGGAUCAGGAGAUCAGGAGAUCGAGACCAUCCUGGCUAACACGGUGAAAUAAAUAUAUAUUUAUUUAUUUAUACUGUGAAGGGAAGGAGGCAUUAGAGAAUGGUUUAAAACUUGCAUUCUUCUGUAAUUUUUGUGCCUUAUACAAUGGUAAUGUGCUUACAUAUUAUUUAUAUUAUUUAAAAAAAAGUGUUUUUUUAAAAACUGUAAAUUGUGGUAAAGAAAGCAGAUAGAGCCUUGUAGAGAUUACUCUUGAAAAACCUGUAUCAACAAAGACAAUCAAAUAAAUUGAGUUAUAGCUGAGGAA
ensembl:lncRNA LINC02822 long intergenic non-protein coding RNA 2822